CCCCCGUCCGUCGUGCGCUCCGAGAGUGAGAGGUGCGCGGCCCGCAGCGAAGCCGGAGGCACACGACCAGGGCACGAGGCACCUGGCGCUCGCUCGGUCCGGAGGCCGAGAGAGCGCGGGCGUGGCCAAAGGAAGGGCGCUUACCCUCCUCGUCGCUGACCUCUGCACCUCCCUUCCCUUGUUGCCUGCGACUGGUAUCCGCCUGCCGCCGCUCGCGAAGGAGCAGCAGUGUCCACGCUGGCGCCAUUUAAAUGCACACAUGAUGAAACAGGCGAGCAGCGCCAACCCUUCGCAGCUCCCCGCGGGCCCCUGUGCGCUCUCCAGCUCCGCCGAGCGCGCCAGGAAGCGCCCUGGCAGGUGCAACGGCCAUUGGGAGAUGCCCGAUAGCUGCUCGACAAAAUGCCUCCAAGGCAAGCUACUCACUGAACCAACGCUGGAUCCAGACGUCCUCUGCCUAGGAACAAGGCUGUUCAUAUGUGCAUAUGCAUGUGUGGGCACGCGUGAUGGAGAAGCUGGCUAUACAGAGCAUGGUGGUUGGGUACAGCGUGAAUGCGUGAUGCCACCAUCAGCGGCCAGACCUCACCAGGAAGCUGUGGCUCAUCCUUGCCGUUUGUGCUCGUGGACCUAUAGGCGCAACGGCUACUGCAGUCUGUUAUUUUGCAAGCUCUUGCCCCCAUCAAAGACAUCUUGCUUGCACAACUUAGGCAAAGCUGAGAGCCUGAGAUAUGCUUUACAUGUAUUUGAUGAAAUGCACAAGCUUAAACCAGCGUACUCGGAAUCAUAGAUAUGGCUGAUGAAUGCAACAUACAAGCUAUGGAUAAUGGUAAGUACAAACAAAUUAUUACUUGUUUUUCUAGCCCUUCUCCAUAUGACUGCAACCGUUAUAGAAAAUCAUGCCCAAGACAUUUUCUUUAAGCAUAAUGAGCAUAGUUUGGAUUCGAAUUGUUUUAAGUUGUAGUAUCCAAAAGGGAAUAUAUGGUACUGUAAUCUUGAACUUCAUCUCUGGCCAGUUUAUUCAACUAAGCAAAAUGGUAAGUACAAUUCACUAAGAUUUAGUUUAGUUCAAGUAUACUGUAUUCACCUUGAGCUCUGUAACUUGAGUACUAACCUUUUGUAUCACACCUUGUAGGAGAGAAAUAAUUCUAUAAAUUCUGCUUUUCAGAAAAAAAUAUAUAAUUUGAACUUUCGACUCCUCCUGGUUGGAUCUUGCAUCAGGGAUGGCUUCUUAGACCAAAUUUGUGAACAGGGAUGGCUCCUUAGACCAAAGUUGUGAAGGCAGCUAAGCCUGUGCUAGAGUUGCAUAAACAAGACAAGACAAGAGGAUAGUCCACAUAAAUUGCUGCAGCUGCAUUUUAAAUGGCAUUUGCAGCAUCUGUGGUAGGGCAUGCUUGUGAUGUUCCUUAUGACAAGUGCAAAAUUUUAUAUUGAGAGCCCAAUCAGGAAGAAAGAAUAGUAUGUUCAGAGUUAUAUCUAAAGCUGCAUGGAAAUUCUUCUCCUGGAUC